rnacentral:rRNA from 1 species
GACAAACGCUGGCGGCGUGUAUUAGGCAUGCAAGUCGCACGGACCUUCGGGUCAGUGGCGGACGGGUGAGUAACACGUGGGUAACCUGCCUCGCAGUGGGGAAUAACCUCCCGAAAGGGAAGCUAAUACCGCAUACCACUCCCGGUGAGAAUCCGGGCAGUAAAAGUAGUAAUGCGCUGUGAGAGGGGCCCGCGGCCGAUUAGCUUGUUGGUGGGGUAACGGCCUACCAAGGCGACGAUCGGAGCUGGUCUGAGAGGAUGGUCAGCCACACGGGGACUGAGAUACGGCCCCGA